AUCACUGAGCUGCGCCCAGCCUUGGACUACCUUUUCUGAAGCUCAAGAGGGGGAUGGGCAAUAUCCAGGUCUGGAUCCAAGCCCAGAGCCCAGAGCUUCCCAGGGUGAAGUGCCACUUGAGCUCCGGCCCCACUCUCCCAUUGGGGACAUUGCAAUCUGACUCCCAAGUCCGUGGUUCUCAGGAAACCUGAGCCUGCCCCAGGUGCAGAGCUCGUGGGAAGGGCAGGGCCCACUGCUUGGCCUGUGGAGAAAGCCUCCGCUUUUAUCCUGACUGAGGCUCCGUGGCUGGGACUGCACACAGGCAACUUUGUCCCUAACAUUCAGGACCCAGUGCACUGGGCCACACUAGGAAGAGGUUCAGGCAGGGCCAGGGUUAAAGCCAUGUUGUGUUUUCAGAGUUGGAAGAGUGCCGGACCCCAGCAGAGGGUUCCAGUGAUGGAUCACGAAGUUCCAUCUUCAGUCACGCCGUGCUGGCUUCUGUUGGCUUGAGUUUCACAAGGACAGUCGGGUGUGCCCAUCUUCAGACUACGGUCUCUGGAGGAGCAGUCUGGGGCAGGAAGUCAUCUGUAUUGGAAUACCUAGGACCCCUCCGAUGCAGCCCAGAGCAGCUCCUGGAAGCGAAUGCUGUGCUACAUUCUAAAACACCUGAGCAAGUAGCGUGCUUUCCAGCCCAGUGCUGGAGGUGGAAGCCAGGGCCACUCGUAGGCUAGACAUGCACUCUGCCACCAGCCACACGCCCAGCUCCAGGACGGGUCACGCAGACCAGGCUGACCUUAGAGAUCUGCCCGAGCGCUCUGCCUCUGAGUGCUGUGGGAGAAGGCAGGCGCCACUCUCCUCAACUCCUGUAUUUUCAGAGACAAGGUCUCACUGAGUGCACUUGGGCGUCCUGGAGCUGUCUGUAGACUGGGAAGGCUUCAAACUCAGGGAUCCGCUGUCUCCACCUCCAAGUACUAAGAUUAAAGACAUGUGCCACCAUAGCCGCUUAUUUUUAUUAAACAAAACAAAACCCAAGUUUUUUGAGACAGAGUCUAAGUUGCCCCAGGCUAGCCCCUUGUUGUACCCAGUUCCGGGUUGAUCAUACACAUUUCUUCCUCACGUCUUCUACCCACUUCCCGAGUCAGGCCCCCACCGCCGCCGAUCCCUGAGCACAGGGGUCCUUUUUGUCACCGCACCCAUUCCUGUUGUUCCAAUCACUUCCCACCCCGGACCGACACAAAGAACCCACACACCACUGGCAGGUUGGAGGCUGGUUUAUAUGAAGGUUAACUCACAGCAAGGACCACCAGCACGCUGCUGCAGGUCACCACUGCCUGGCAGAAGUCAGGACAGGGAGGGCUGGAGGGGAAGACGAUGUCACAGACUGUCCCAGGCACACCAGACACCAGCAAGGACCCACGGGUGCCGAUGACAACCGCACUUUCCAGCAGGGGUUGCAGAGCCUCAGACUCCAUGGGAUCCCAGGCUGUCCUACUCCUCACGUAGGCGGUGGCUGGCUUCAGACCCACUUAGUAGCUGGGGACGACCUUCAACGUCCCA